rnacentral:rRNA from 1 species
UGGGGAAUCUUAGACAAUGGGGGCAACCCUGAUCUAGCCAUGCCGCGUGAGUGAUGAAGGCCUUAGGGUUGUAAAGCUCUUUCAGCUGGGAAGAUAAUGACGGUACCAGCAGAAGAAGCCCCGGCUAACUCCGUGCCAGCAGCCGCGGUAAUACGGAGGGGGCUAGCGUUGUUCGGAAUUACUGGGCGUAAAGCGCACGUAGGCGGACUGAAAAGUUGGAGGUGAAAUCCCAGGGCUCAACCUUGGAACUGCCUUCAAAACUAUCAGUCUGGAGUUCGAGAGAGGUGAGUGGAAUUCCGAGUGUAGAGGUGAAAUUCGUAGAUAUUCGGAGGAACACCAGUGGCGAAGGCGGCUCACUGGCUCGAUACUGACGCUGAGGUGCGAAAGCGUGGGGAGCAAACA